CACACACACAGAGUACAUACACAUAACCACACACAGAGUACAUAUAUACACAUAACCACACACACAGAGUACAUAUACACAUAACCACACACACAGAGUACAUAUAUACACAUAACCACACACAGAGUACAUAUAUACACAUAACCACACACACACAGAGUACAUAUACACAUAACCACACACAGAGUACAUAUACACAUAACCACACACACAGAGUACAUAUACACAUAACCACACACACAGAGUACAUAUACACAUAACCACACACACACAGAGUACAUAUACACAUAACCACACACACAGAGUACAUAUAUACACAUAACCACACACACAGAGUACAUAUAUACACAUAACCACACACACAGAGUACAUAUACACAUAACCACACACAGAGUACAUAUACACAUAACCACACACAGAGUACAUAUAUACACAUAACCACACACACAGAGUACAUAUAUACACAUAAACAAUCACACAGAGUACAUACACACAAAGAGACAUAGGGUUCUUAUCUUUUUAAAAACAUUUUCAUAUUAUACUCUCCACAGCGUCUUUUUUAUGCACUUAACACCAUCUCAUACAAAUUCUUCACUUGGCUUAAAUUCACCCCCUUUCAAGGCUGCACAACAUUUCAUGCUGUAUAUGCAACACUCUGAUGAUGAUGUGCAUUCCAGGUUUAUGCCACCCAAAGCCAGGCUCCAACAACUAUUCUUGUACAUGUAUUUUUAUAGAACAUGGAUUUUUUUUCUGUAAGUUACAUUUCCAAGAGGCGGAUUUCUGGGUUGAAGUAUAUGUACACUUUAAUUUUAUCUUAUCCAAUUUCUUUCCAUACAUGUUCUAACAAACUAUUUUCAACAACCUUUGAGUACCCUUUCCCUAUAUUCUCGUCAUCAAUUGGCGUUAACACCCAGUGCUAACACCAGUCAAUAAAUGUAAAAUCAUCUUACUGUUACUUUAAUUUGUACUUCCUAGACUUUCACUGAAUUGGAGAAUCUUUUUAUACGCAGGUUGGUCAUUUAGAUUUGCUCUUCUAUAAAUUGCCUCUUCACAUUCUUAAUCCUUUUUGCCAUUUUUUUUGGAUUACUUCUCACGAUGAUUCUUUGCUUGACCAAAAGUUUAGUCAGGCUCCUGAACCUUCUCCUAGGCCCAUCUGUGCACUUUGUUGUAAAAUCUAGUUUUAGCAAGACUCCUCCACCCUCAGUAUCUGCUCAGGUUCCUCAUCUUCCACCAUCCCCAGGUGAUGCCUGGUUAUCCUGGCCUGUUUUCAGCAAGAUCCUGCCAGUUUGGUUUAACCAGACUCCUCCUGACCUUUCACGUUUCCUCUUAGUAACUUUCCAUCCACUCCACCUCCUUGCCCCUCCAAGCUCCUUGGCUGUAAGUUCCCACAUGCCCAUGCUGUUUUCAGAGGUGAGCCCAACCUCCCUCCCUCACUGUAAAAUCCCAUUGCAGUGGCCCCCUAUACUUAUCUCGAUGGUCCUGACUAAAGCCUGCCUUGCCAUCUUUAACAAGUGUCAUUGAGUAUUUUUUCCUCCUGCUUGGCAAAUUGGAAAAGCUCUAUGUAUAUUAUAGAUAUUAGCCCUCUAUCUGUCCUUCACAUUGCAAGUGGUUUUCAAUUCUAUUAUUUAUCCUUUAACUUUAGGGUAACUUGUGCCAGACUAAGUAUGUGAAUUUUUUAUAGUUAUAUAUUUCUUUUCUUUUUUUUUUUGAGGAAGAUUAGCCCUGAGCUAACUGCUGCCAAUCCUCCUCUUUUCACUGAAGAAGACUGGCCCUGAGCUAACAUCUGUGCCCAUCUUCCUUGACUUCAUACGUGGGAUGUCCACCACAGCAUGGCUUGCCAAGCAGUGCCAUGUCCCGCACCCAGUAUCCGAACCGGCAAACCCCAGGCUGCCGAGAAGUGGAACGUGUGAACUAAACUGCUGCGCCACCGGGCAGGCCCCUAGUUAUAUAUUUCUAUGUACAGGAUACUUGAUAGGGUUUUAGUUUCAUUUCCUUUCAGGUGGGUAACCAACUAU
ensembl:lncRNA